rnacentral:misc_RNA from 1 species
GACGAACCGUCCUAACGUUGUUCGGAAUCACUGGGCUUAAAGGGCGCGUAGGCGGGCGAGCAAGUCCAGGGUGAAAUCUUUCGGCUUAACCGGAAAAUAGCCUUGGAUACUGCUGGUCUCGAGGGAGGUAGGGGUCGUUGGAACUUCCGGUGGAGCGGUGAAAUGCGUUGAUAUCGGAAGGAACGCCGGUGGCGAAAGCGAACGACUGGACCUUUUCUGACGCUGAGGCGCGAAAGCCAGGGGAGCAAACGGG